rnacentral:misc_RNA from 1 species
AACGCACAUUGCGCCCUUUGGCAUUCCGAAGGGCAUGCCUGUUCGAGCGUCAUUAUCACCACUCGGACCGAACUUUUUGUUCGCGUCUGGCGUUGGACGUUUUAGGUCUGAUCGGCGUACACGCCCUCGACCCGUCCCAAAGACAAUGACGGCGUCUGUUUGACCCCCGGUGCAACGAGCUUUAAACGGCACGCACCGAUGGGCUGUCCUACGGACCCGGUCACGGUCGUCUCGGGGCAAAGCAUCUCUUUCGAUGUUUUUUUCUGGGACUUCACUUUCAAGGUUGACCUCGGAUCAGGUAGGGAAUACCCGCUGAACUUAA